rnacentral:rRNA from 1 species
UACGGGGGGAGCAAGCGUUGUUCGGAUUUACUGGGCGUAAAGGGCGCGUAGGCGGCCAGCGCAAGUCAGUUGUGAAAUCUCCGGGCUUAACUCGGAACGGUCAACUGAUACUGCGGGGCUAGAGUGCAGAAGGGGCAACUGGAAUUCUCGGUGUAGCGGUGAAAUGCGUAGAUAUCGAGAGGAACACCUGCGGCGAAGGCGGGUUGCUGGGCUGACACUGACGCUGAUGCGCGAAAGCUAGGGGAGCGAACGGG